rnacentral:SRP_RNA from 1 species
GGCGGGUGUGGUGGUGCACACCUGUGGUCCCAGCUACUUGGGAGGCUGAGGUGGGAGGAUCACUUGACCCCAGGAGUUCAAGGCUGCAGUGAGCCAUGAUCACGCCACUGCACUCCAGCCUGGGUGACAGAGUGAGACCCUAUCUCUA